rnacentral:misc_RNA from 1 species
GGAGGGAUCAUCAAAGAAUUACUGGGGUUUUUCCCACACGGGGGGAUCCGUCCCCCCCAAACAAACGAUCGCAACUAUGUAAAGAAGUGUUUUGGUGGGGGGCUUGUGAAUGAAUAAGCGGUUGCCUGAUAAUUUGGUUGAUUUGGAAAAAAAAGAUACAACUUUCAACAACGGAUCUCUUGGCUCUCACAUCGAUGAAGAACAUAGCAAAGUGUGAAAAUUAGUGUGAAUUGCAGAUUCAGUGAAUCAUUGAGUUUUUGAACGCAUCUUGCACUUCUUGGUAUUCCAGGGAGUAUGCCUGGUUGAGUAAUGUGAAUACAUCCAUCAAACCACUCUCUUGACAAGAGAGAGAAGGUUUGGAGUUGAGUGGGCUCUACCUUGAUUCAUUGUCGAGGUUCACUUGAAAUGGAGGGAAAGCAAGCAAGCAAGCAAAAGCAGUGACUCUCUUUUCGUUGAUUUGGUUGGAAUGCCAUCGCUUGGCGAGGAACGAGAGAGAGGGAAUGGAGCUUGGUUAUAACAAUGACUUGAGGAAUGGCGAUAUGGUUCAAAGAAAGUCUUGUUUAGAGCUUUUUUAUUCUGGCUGCUGAGAUUGUAAUGAUCUCCUCUGUGAGUUGGUUUUCCACAACUAGGGAAUAGGCAGGUGUACAGCAGUGUGGGGUGCUGUGGUUGGUCCCAUCCCAUCUAUCUGGUGGCUUGGCUCUCACCACACACACUACACUACACUGCUUUUACCCCUCCUCUUCAUUAUCAUUCUCAACUCAGGCAAGACUACCCGCUGAAUUUAAGCAUAUAAAUAAGCGGAGGAAAAGAAACUAACAAGGAUUCCCUCAGUAACUGCGAGUGAAGCGGGAAAAGCUCAAAUUUGAAAUCUACCGGGCAGUAACAUUCCUGGUCGAAUUGUAGUUUCGAGAAAGAGUGGCUGAGCGAGGCCAGUUGGGUGCAAGGUCCUUGGAAUGGGACAUCAGAGAGGGUGACAAUCCCGUCCACCGCCCUUCUGCUAAACCUCGGUUAAAGGCCCUCUUUUCAAAGAGUCGAGUUGUUUGGGAUUGCAGCUCAAAAUGGGUGGUAAAUUUCAUCUAAAGCUAAAUAUGGGUGAGAGACCGAUAGCGAACAAGUACCGUGAGGGAAAGAUGAAAAGCACUCUGAAGAGAGAGUCAAAAGUACGUGAAAUUGUUGAAAGGGAAACGCUUGAAACCAGUCAAGGUUUGUUAGAGAUCAGGGGAGUCCCAUAAGCAGGCAGGCUGGAGGUUGGAGAUUGGGGUUCUUUCGGGGGCCGCGACUCUUCCAUCAGCCUCGGGCUUGGUUAUGCUCUCUGCAUGUUUCUAGCAAACGAGUCAGCAUCAGUUUGCUGCUUGGGAAAAAGGUAACAGGAUUUGGUCGAGCUCUCAACGGACCUUGUGUCCUUGAAGCUUGAGCCUGCUUAUCACGAUACCGAGCGGGCAGACUGAGGACAGCAGUACAGGGCAUUGCCUUGGAAUAGACAAUCUUGGGUGGCGCUCUUGAUAAACAGCCUUGUCUGAUUGUCGAGGGUGGAGCCAUCCGAGUCUUGCCAAAUCCAAGCAGGCUUCUGACUUUGGAUGUUGACGAAAUGGUUUUAAACGACCCGUCUUGAAACACGGACCAAGGAGUCUAACAUGGAUGCAAGUAUUUGGGCGAUAGGAAACCCAUAUGCGCAAUGAAAGUGAAAAUGUGUAUAUAUUUAUAUAUAUAUAUAUACGGGAGAGGUAGGAAGUCUAGCCGUAAAAGGCUUGACGGCACUAUCGACCAAUCUUGACUAGCCCCGGCUUGAUAGAUUUGAGUAAGAGCAUGCAUGUUGGGACCCGAAAGAUGGUGAACUAUGCCUGAAUAGGGUGAAGUCAGACGAAAGUCUGAUGGAAGCUCGUAGCGAUUCUGACGUGCAAAUCGAUCGUCAAAUUUGGGUAUAGGGGCGAAAGACUAAUCGAACCAUCUAGUAGCUGGUUCCUGC